AACGAACGCUGGCGGCAGGCUUAACACAUGCAAGUCGAGCGCCCCGCAAGGGGAGCGGCAGACGGGUGAGUAACGCGUGGGAAUCUACCGAGCCCUAAGGAAUAGCUCCGGGAAACUGGAAUUAAUACCUUAUACGCCCUUUGGGGGGAAAGAUUUAUCGGGGUUUGAUGAGCCCGCGUUGGAUUAGCUAGUUGGUGGGGUAAAGGCCUACCAAGGCGACGAUCCAUAGCUGGGCUGAGAGGAUGAUCAGCCACAUUGGGACUGAGACACGGCCCAAACUCCUACGGGAGGCAGCAGUGGGGAAUAUUGGACAAUGGGCGCAAGCCUGAUCCAGCCAUGCCGCGUGAGUGAUGAAGGCCUUAGGGUUGUAAAGCUCUUUCACCGGUGAAGAUAAUGACGGUAACCGGAGAAGAAGCCCCGGCUAACUUCGUGCCAGCCGCCGCCGUAAAAC
rnacentral:rRNA from 1 species